rnacentral:rRNA from 1 species
AGAAUCAACGCUGGCGGCGUGCCUAACACAUGCAAGUCGCACGAGAAAGGGUAGCAAUACCUGAGUAAAGUGGCGCACGGGUGAGUAACACGUGACUAAUCUACCCUCGAGUGGGGAAUAACUGAGAGAAAUCUCAGCUAAUACCGCAUAACACUUACGAGUCAAAGCAGAAUGCGCUUGGGGAGGAGGUCGCGGCCGAUUAGCUAGUUGGCGGGGUAAUGGCCCACCAAGGCGAUGAUCGGUA